rnacentral:rRNA from 1 species
UACGGAGGGUGCAAGCGUUAUCCGGAUUCACUGGGGUUAAAGGGUGCGUAGGCGGGCAGGCAAGUCCGUGGUGAAAUCUCUGAGCUUAACUCAGAAACUGCCAUGGAUACUAUUUGUCUUGAAUGUUGUGGAGGUAAGCGGAAUAUGUCAUGUAGCGGUGAAAUGCUUAGAUAUGACAUAGAACACCAAUUGCGAAGGCAGCUUACUACACAAAUAUUGACGCUGAGGCACGAAAGCGUGGGGAUCAAACAGG